UUGUGGAAGCAUUCUUCUUGAAUAAUACAACUGAGCAGUAUUUAGAAGUUGAACUUUGUCCAAAGAGCUUGCAUUAUCAUUCAAAGUGUCCAGAGGAGAGACUCAUUGGGAAGGUGAAGCUUUUCUUCCUUGGAGUUAUUUUCCAUCAAAAGUGACACGAUUUAACUCAUUUGCAAUCCAUGGAUCAAAUGAUAAAAGAGUUUAUGAAGCGCUUUACCCUGUGCCACAACCUGAGCUGCAACAAGGACAAAAUCCUGACUUCCAUCGUCUAGAAUAUUUCAAGCCUUUCAGUUUUAACACACUGCUUGGAGAAGAGUGGAAGCAGCCAGAAUCAGACCUGUGGCUGAUAGAGAAAUCCGAUAUAUAGGAGUAUAACCAAAAGUGUCAGUCAUUUCUCCUCUGUAUCUUUUAAGGUAAUCUAAUAAGAUACAUAUACACAUUUCAAUAACAAUUUUAACAGAGAUCACUGAAAUGUUGUGCCUCUGUGGCAAAUUGUAUAUGGUGAACAAAGAAAUAGAAACUCUGUGUAACAUAAAAUAAUUUUUACUUAAAUAUCCUCUCUACCCUUGAAAUCAGUACAAAACAAUAAUUUAUUUUAAUUGAUGAGACCAUCUCUAUCUGCUAAGGCAUCAAGAUAGAAGAGUUAUCUAACUAGAUAUUUUUACUGUGUUGGAAGAAAUGAAAUAAUCUUGAAUUAAGGAAAUGGAGUUGAUACUUUUACUUACAAAUAAAUGAUAUUUUAUUAAUGUUGU
rnacentral:lncRNA from 1 species